rnacentral:rRNA from 1 species
AGUGAACGCUGGCGGUAGGCCUAACACAUGCAAGUCGAACGGCAGCACAGUAAGAGCUUGCUCUUACGGGUGGCGAGUGGCGGACGGGUGAGGAAUACAUCGGAAUCUACUUUUUCGUGGGGGAUAUCGUAGGGAAACUUACGCUAAUACCUCAUACGACCUACGGGUGAAAGCAGGGGAUCUUCGGACCUUGCGCGAUUGAAUGAGCCGAUGUCGGAUUAGCUAGUUGGCGGGGUAAAGGCUCACCAAGGCGACGAUCCGUAGCUGGUCUGAGAGGAUGAUCAGCCACACUGGAACUGAGACACGGUCCAGACUCCUACGGGAGGCAGCAGUGGGGAAUAUUGGACAAUGGGCGCAAGCCUGAUGCAGCCAUACCGCGUGGGUGAAGAAGGCCUUCGGGUUGUAAAGCCCUUUUGUUGGGAAAGAAAAGCAGCAGGUUAAUACCCCGCUGUUCUGACGGUACCCAAAGAAUAAGCACCGGCUAACUUCGUG